ACUGACAAGUGGCCAUAUAAUGGUAACUCUCGCAGUCGGGCUGAAGUUUGCGACUCGGUUGCUGUUGGCAAGUUGGGAACUUUCUUCCUUUCGAGGGCUCUGCUGAGUACGUUCGCUGGUGGACUUGAACGACGAUGGCUGCACACUCCGUGGACGAUGAGCCUACUUUUGGAAAGCCAAAGGUCGAGCUACAUGUGCAUCUUGAUGGCGCAAUCCGGAUAGAAA